AUUGAACGCUGGCGGCAUGCCUUACACAUGCAAGUCGAACGGCAGCAUGGAGAGCUUGCUCUCUGAUGGCGAGUGGCGAACGGGUGAGUAAAGCAUCGGAACGUACCGUGUAGUGGGGGAUAACGUAGCGAAAGUUACGCUAAUAACGCAUACGCACUGAGGUGGAAAGCAGGGGAUCGUAAGACCGUGCGAUAUACGAGCGGCCGGUGUCAGAUUAGCUAGUUGGUAGGGGAAAGGCCUAGCAAGGCGACGAUCUGUAGCGGGUCUGGAAGGAGGAGCCGCCACACUGGGACUGAGACACGGCCCAGACUCCUACGGGAGGCAGCAGUAUGGAAUAUUGGACAAUGGGCGGAAGCCUGAUCCAGCCAUGCCGCGUGUGUGAAGAAGGUCUUUUGGUUGUAAAGCACUUUAGGCGAGGAGGAGGCUCUUAAGGUUAAUACCCUUGAUGGGUGGACGUUACUCGCAGAAUAAGCACCGGCUAACUCUGUGCCAGCAGCCGCCGUAA
rnacentral:rRNA from 1 species